rnacentral:rRNA from 1 species
UGGCUCAGAUUGAACGCUGGCGGCAGGCCUAACACAUGCAAGUCGAGCGCGAAAGGUUUUCGGACUGAGUAAAGCGGCGGACGGGUGAGUAACGCGUGGGAAUCUGCCCAGUAGUGGGGGACAACAGCCGGAAACGGCUGCUAAUACCGCAUACGCCCUACGGGGGAAAGGGGGGGAUCUUCGGACCUCUCGCUAUUGGAUGAGCCCGCGUCGGAUUAGCUAGUUGGUAGGGUAAAGGCCUACCAAGGCUACGAUCCGUAACUGGUCUGAGAGGAUGAUCAGUCACACUGGAACUGAGACACGGUCCAGACUCCUACGGGAGGCAGCAGUGGGGAAUAUUGGACAAUGGGGGCAACCCUGAUCCAGCCAUGCCGCGUGUGUGAAGAAGGCCUUAGGGUUGUAAAGCACUUUCAGUGGGGAGAAA